CCUACGGGAGGCUGCAGUAGGGAAUUUUCGGCAAUGGGGGGAACCCUGAACGAGCAACGCCGCGUGAACGAAGAAGUUAUUCGUAAUGUAAAGUUCCUUUAACAGGGAAGAAAGAGAAAUUAGACGGUAUCUGAAGAAUAAGCUCCGGCUAACUACGUGCCAGCAGCCGCGGUAAUACGUAGGGAGCGAGCGUUAUCCGGAAUUAUUGGGGGUAAAGUGUGGGUAGAUGGCAUAGUAAGUCUGUUGUAAAAAUGCUGGGCUAAACCAAGUAGGGCAAAAGAUACUGCAAAGCUAGAGUAUGACAGAGGCAAGUGGAACUAGAUGUGUAGCGGUAAAAUGCUUAAAUAUA
rnacentral:rRNA from 1 species